rnacentral:rRNA from 1 species
GUCUACAGCCAUGCCCUGAACGUGCCCGAUCUUGUCUGAUCUCAGAAGCUAAGCAGGGUCGGGCUUGGUUAGUACUUGGAUGGAAGACUACCUAGGAAUGCCAGGUGCUGGGGGGC